rnacentral:rRNA from 1 species
UCCUCGAGAGUGGCGAACGGGUGAGUAAUACAUCGGAACGUGCCCAGUCGUGGGGGAUAACGUAGCGAAAGCUACGCUAAUACCGCAUACGACCCGAGGGUGAAAGCGGGGGACUCGCAAGAGCCUCGCGCGAUUGGAGCGGCCGAUGGCAGAUUAGGUAGUUGGUGGGGUAAAGGCCCACCAAGCCUGCGAUCUGUAGCUGGUCUGAGAGGACGACCAGCCACACUGGGACUGAGACACGGCCCAGACUUCUACGGGAGGCAGCAGUGGGGAAUUUUGGACAAUGGGCGAAAGCCUGAUCCAGCCAUACCGCGUGCGGGAAGAAGGCCUUCGGGUUGUAAACCGCUUUUGUCAGGGAAGAAAUACUUCGGGCUAAUACCCUGGGGUGAUGACGGUACCUGAAGAAUAAGCACCGGCUAACUACGUGCCAGCAGCCGCGGUAAUACGUAGGGUGCAAGCGUUAAUCGGAAUUACUGGGCGUAAAGCGUGCGCAGGCGGUUCUAUAAGACAGAUGUGAAAUCCCCGGGCUCAACCUGGGAACUGCAUUUGUGACUGUAGAGCUAGAGUACGGUAGAGGGGGAUGGAAUUCCGCGUGUAG